rnacentral:rRNA from 1 species
GAUGAACGCUGGCGGCGUGCCUAAUACAUGCAAGUCGAGCGAACAGACGAGGAGCUUGCUCCUUUGACGUUAGCGGCGGACGGGUGAGUAACACGUGGGUAACCUACCUAUAAGACUGGGAUAACUUCGGGAAACCGGAGCUAAUACCGGAUAAUAUUUCGAACCGCAUGGUUCGAUAGUGAAAGAUGGCUUUGCUAUCACUUAUAGAUGGACCUGCGCCGUAUUAGCUAGUUGGUAAGGUAACGGCUUGCCAAGGCAACGAUACGUAGCCGACCUGAGAGGGUGAUCGGCCACACUGGAACUGAGACACGGUCCAGACUCCUACGGGAGGCAGCAGUAGGGAAUCUUCCGCAAUGGGCGAAAGCCUGACGGAGCAACGCCGCGUGAGUGAUGAAGGUCUUCGGAUCGUAAAACUCUGUUAUUAGGGAAGAACAAACGUGUAAGUAACUGUGCACGUCUUGACGGUACCUAAUCAGAAAGCCACGGCUAACUACGUGCCAGCAGCCGCGGUAAUACGUAGGUGGCAAGCGUUAUCUGGAAUUAUUGGGCGUAAAGCGCGCGUAGGCGGUUUUUUAAGUCUGAUGUGAAAGCCCACGGCUCAACCGUGGAGGGUCAUUGGAAACUGGAAAACUUGAGUGCAGAAGAGGAAAGUGGAAUUCCAUGUGUAGCGGUGAAAUGCGCAGAGAUAUGGAGGAACACCAGUGGCGAAGGCGACUUUCUGGUCUGUAACUGACGCUGAUGUGCGAAAGCGUGGGGAUCAAACAGGAUUAGAUACCCUGGUAGUCCACGCCGUAAACGAUGAGUGCUAAGUGUUAGGGGGUUUCCGCCCCUUAGUGCUGCAGCUAACGCAUUAAGCACUCCGCCUGGGGAGUACGACCGCAAGGUUGAAACUCAAAGGAAUUGACGGGGACCCGCACGAGCGGUGGAGCAUGUGGCUUAAUUCGAAGCAACGCGAAGAACCUUACCAAAUCUUGACAUCCUUUGACCCUUCUAGAGAUAGAAGUUUCCCCUUCGGGGGACAAAGUGACAGGUGGUGCAUGGUUGUCGUCAGCUCGUGUCGUGAGAUGUUGGGUUAAGUCCCGCAACGAGCGCAACCCUUAAGCUUAGUUGCCAUCAUUAAGUUGGGCACUCUAAGUUGACUGCCGGUGACAAACCGGAGGAAGGUGGGGAUGACGUCAAAUCAUCAUGCCCCUUAUGAUUUGGGCUACACACGUGCUACAAUGGACAAUACAAAGGGCAGCGAAACCGCGAGGUCAAGCAAAUCCCAUAAAGUUGUUCUCAGUUCGGAUUGUAGUCUGCAACUCGACUACAUGAAGCUGGAAUCGCUAGUAAUCGUAGAUCAGCAUGUUACGGUGAAUACGUUCCCGGGUCU